ACUGUCUGCCAUACCAACUCAACUGAUCUCACACACUAAGCAGGGUCAGACCUUGUUAGUACUUGGAUAGGAGACUGCCUGUGAAUACUGAGUGCUGUAGGCU
rnacentral:rRNA from 1 species